rnacentral:rRNA from 1 species
GACGAACGCUUGCGGCGUGCCUAAGAAAUGCAAGUCGAGCGGGGAGUAAGAUUUCGGUUUUACUUCUAGCGGCGAACGGUCGCGUAACACGUAAGCAACCUGCCCCGAAGACCGGGACAACAGCUCGAAAGGGCUGCUAAUACCGGAUGUGGCCAUUGGGGGACAUCCCCUGGUGAUUAAAUCGAGCAAUCGGCUUCGGGAGGGGCUUGCGGCCUAUCAGCUAGUUGGUGGGGUAACGGCCUACCAAGGCGACGACGGGUAGCUGGUCUGAGAGGACGGCCAGCCGGACUGGGACUGAGAUACGGCCCAGACUCCUACGGGGGGCAGCAAUUAGGAAUCUUGCGCAAUGGGCGAAAGCCUGACGCAGCGACGCCGCGCGGAGGAGGAAGUCCUUC